GACGAACGCUGGCGGCGUGCUUAACACAUGCAAGUCGAACGGACAGGCCCUGCUUUUGUUGGGUGCUCGUUUGGCGAACAGGUGUGUAACACGUGAGUAUCCUGCCCUUGACUUUGUGAUAACUUCAGGAGACUGGGGCUCAUACCCGAUAUGAGCUCCUGCUGCAUGUUGUUGGUUGGAAAGUUUCGGCUGUUUGGUAUGGACUCGCGGCUUAUCAGCUUGUUGGUGGGGUAGUGGCUUACCAAGUCUGUGACGGCUAGCCGGCCUGAGAGGGUGACCGGCCACAUGGGGACUGAGAUACGGCACAGAAUGCUAUGGGAGGCAGCAGGGGGGAAUAUUGCAGAAUGGGCGGAAGCCUGAUGCAGCAACGCCGCGUGCGGGAUGACGGCUUUCGGGGUGUAAACCGCUUUCGAAGGUGACGAAGAGUGAGUGACGGUAAUGGGUAAAGAAGCACCGGCUAACUACGUG
rnacentral:rRNA from 1 species